rnacentral:lncRNA from 1 species
AUCUACACUGCAUCCCUGUCCUCCCGCGACUGCGUCCUGCAGCAACUGCCUGUGAGCCAUUUCCACGUUUCUCCUUUUGGAAUGGGGACGAGGGGGCCAGCAUGUGUGCGUGGGUGUGCAAGGGUGCAGGGAUGUGAGAGGUGCGAGGAAGGGGGCGGGUGCAAGAGUGUGUGACUGUGCGUCUGUGGGAUGUACGUGCAAAGAUAUGGGUGUAGGGGUUGAGAGUCUAUGUGGGAGUGAUUUGACUGAUCCGAUGUCUGCCAGAGCGGUGGAGCACAGCCAUCUCCUUCCUGUGGUCUCCACUAGAAGUCAGGUUGGCCCCGCUGGCUCCGGUGGAGGGUGGUCAUUAGACCUCUCGGGACAGUUGGGGGCAGCAGCUCUGCUGGCUUGAGGUGGAUGGAAAGGUCCCUAGACCUCAAGGUAUGUCGAGAAACCCCUACAGGCCAGUGGCAGCCUGGACAUUAGGAAGAAUUAUGGCUGCUCAGCCUGCACAAACCCCAUAUGAAGCUGCAAAUCCUUAUCCUGGGCAUAGUAGGGUAGCAGGGGCGGCGGGACAGCUGGACCUCAUCUCGCCCAGUUCAUGGUGACUGCAGACCCCCUCCUUGUGGGCUGGCUCCACCUCUGCAGGUCUGGGAGAGCCAGUGGGAGCUGUGCAUCUCCAAGGUGGCCCAGGGGCAAAACCGUCAGCUCCUGUUCGGGUCUGACUGCUGGGUGCUGGGUGUUAAAAAAGGAAACAGCUCGAUGGAGAGAAAGGGAUUAGCAGAAGGGGUGUUGCCCAGAACAUUGAGCGUUAGGGCCUGAUGGGGGUCGCUGAGUGAAGGUUAAAGGAUGGUAGGAGGUAUGAUAGCCAUUUGUCUCAAACCACCUGCCGCGGGGCUUGGCUCUAGAUGCUGGGCCACAGGUGGCUGGUGAGUGUCGGGAGCCACAAGCAGCUGUGCCCCUCCUCUCUGUCCCUCUUUGCUUGGGCCCCACAGAACAACAGCCGUUCAAACUGGAGGCAAACAUCUAUGACCUAAAAGGCUUGGGUGCAAGCAGACCAGGGUGGGCACUGCGGCAGCGUCGUAAGAGGAGAGCACGAGCCCCCACCAAUGUGCACUUCUGUGUGACGCAGCAUGAAAGGGUCCGUGUGAACGUGAGUCUGUGACCUCUAACCCAGCUUUUAUGGGUUUUCAAAUAAAAAUUCGCAUCCUCC